AUUGAACGCUGGCGGCAUGCCUUACACAUGCAAGUCGAACGGCAGCACGGGAGCAAUCCUGGUGGCGAGUGGCGAACGGGUGAGUAAUAUAUCGGAACGUGCCCAGUCGUGGGGGAUAACGCAGCGAAAGCUGUGCUAAUACCGCAUACGAUCUCUGGAUGAAAGCGGGGGACCUUCGGGCCUCGCGCGAUUGGAGCGGCCGAUAUCAGAUUAGCUAGUUGGUGGGGUAAAAGCCCACCAAGGCGACGAUCUGUAGCUGGUCUGAGAGGACGACCAGCCACACUGGAACUGAGACACGGUCCAGACUCCUACGGGAGGCAGCAGUGGGGAAUUUUGGACAAUGGGCGCAAGCCUGAUCCAGCAAUGCCGCGUGCAGGAUGAAGGCCUUCGGGUUG
rnacentral:rRNA from 1 species